rfam:Geobacillus kaustophilus HTA426 DNA, complete genome.
GCGGAAGUAGUUCAGCGGUAGAACACCACCUUGCCAAGGUGGGGGUCGCGGGUUCGAGUCCCGUCUUCCGCU